rnacentral:rRNA from 1 species
GUGCGAGCGUUGUCCGGAAUUACUGGGCGUAAAGAGCUCGUAGGUGGUUUGUCGCGUUGUUCGUGAAAUCUCACGGCUUAACUGUGAGCGUGCGGGCGAUACGGGCAGACUUGAGUACUGCAGGGGAGACUGGAAUUCCUGGUGUAGCGGUGGAAUGCGCAGAUAUCAGGAGGAACACCGGUGGCGAAGGCGGGUCUCUGGGCAGUAACUGACGCUGAGGAGCGAAAGCGUGGGGAGCGAACAGGAUUAGAUACCCUGGUAGUCCACGCCGUAAACGGUGGGUACUAGGUGUGGGUUUCCUUCCUUGGGAUCCGUGCCGUAGCUAACGCAUUAAGUACCCCGCCUGGGGAGUACGGCCGCAAGGCUAAAACUCAAAGAAAUUGACGGGGGCCCGCACAAGCGGCGGAGCAUGUGGAUUAAUUCGAUGCAACGCGAAGAACCUUACCUGGGUUUGACAUGCACAGGACGCCGGCAGAGAUGUCGGUUCCCUUGUGGCCUGUGUGCAGGUGGUGCAUGGCUGUCGUCAGCUCGUGUCGUGAGAUGUUGGGUUAAGUCCC